GAUGAACGCUGGCGGCGUGCCUAAUACAUGCAAGUUGAGCGAAUGGAUUAAGAGCUUGCUCUUAUGAAGUUAGCGGCGGACGGGUGAGUAACACGUGGGUAACCUGCCCAUAAGACUGGGAUAACUCCGGGAAACCGGGGCUAAUACCGGAUAACAUUUUGAACCGCAUGGUUCGAAAUUGAAAGUCGGCUUCGGCUGUCACUUAUGGAUGGACCCGCGUCGCAUUAGCUAGUUGGUGAGGUAACGGCUCACCAAGGCAACGAUUCGUAGCCGACCUGAGAGGGUGAUCGGCCACGCUGAGACUGAGACACGGCCCAGACUCCUGCGGGAGGCAGCAGUAGGCAAUCUUCCGCAAUGGACGAAAGUCUGACGGAGCAACGCCGCGUGAGUGAUGAAGGCUUUCGGGUCGUAAAACUCUGUUGUUAGGGAAGAACAAGUGCUAGUUGAAUAAGCUGGCACCUUGACGGUACCUAACCAGAAAGCCACGGCUAACUACGUGCCAGCCGCCGCAGUAA
rnacentral:rRNA from 1 species